rnacentral:rRNA from 1 species
AUUGAACGCUGGCGGCAGGCCUAACACAUGCAAGUCGAACGAGUGGCGGACGGGUGAGUAAUGUCUGGGAAACGGCCCGAUGGAGGGGGAUAACUACUGGAAACGGUAGCUUAUACCGCAUACCCUCGGAUGUGCCCAGAUGGGAUUAGCGAGGUGGUGGGGAAAUGGCGCACAUAGGCGACGAUCCCUAGCUGGUCUUAGAGGAUGACCAGUCACACUGGAACUGAUGCACGUUCCAGUCUCCUACGUGAGGCAGCAGUGGGGCAUAUUGCACAAUGGGCGCAAGCCUGAUGCAGCCAUGCCGCGUGUAUGAAGAAGUCCUUCGGGUUGUAAAGUACUUUCAGCGGGGAGGCGUUACCCGCAGAAGAAGCACCGGCUAACUCCGUGCCAGCAGCCGCGGUAAUUC